GAUGAACGCUGGCGGCGUGCCUAAUACAUGCAAGUCGAGCGAACAGACGAGGAGCUUGCUCCUCUGACGUUAGCGGCGGACGGGUGAGUAACACGUGGAUAACCUACCUAUAAGACUGGGAUAACUUCGGGAAACCGGAGCUAAUACCGGAUAAUAUAUUGAACCGCAUGGUUCAAUAGUGAAAGACGGUUUUGCUGUCACUUAUAGAUGGAUCCGCGCCGCAUUAGCUAGUUGGUAAGGUAACGGCUUACCAAGGCAACGAUGCGUAGCCGACCUGAGAGGGUGAUCGGCCACACUGGAACUGAGACACGGUCCAGACUCCUACGGGAGGCAGCAGUAGGGAAUCUUCCGCAGUGGGCGAAAGCCUGACGGAGCAACGCCGCGUGAGUGAUGAAGGGCUUCGGAUCGUAAAACUCUGUUAUUAGGGAAGAACAAAUGUGUAAGUAACUAUGCACGUCUUGACGGUACCUAAUCAGAAAGCCACGGCUAACUACGU
rnacentral:rRNA from 1 species